GACGAACGCUGGCGGCGUGCUUAACACAUGCAAGUCGAACGGAAAGGCCAUGCUUUUGUGCCGUUCUCGUGUGGCGAACGCGUGAGUAACACGUGAGUAACCUGCCCUUGACAUUGGGAUAACUUCAGGAAAAAGCGGAUAAUACCGCGUAGGAGCUCCUGCUGCGUAGUGGGGGUUGGAAAAAUUCGGCGGUUUGGGAUGGACUCGCGGCUUAUCAGCUUGUUGGUGGGGUAGUGGCUUACCAAGGCUUUGACGGGUAGCCGGCCUGAGAGGGUGAACGGCCACAUUGGGACUGAGGUACGGAGCAGUCUCCUACGGGAGGCAGUAGUGGGGAGUAUUGCACAAUGGGCGGAAGCCUGAUGCAGCAACGCCGCGUGCGGGAUGACGGGUUUCGGGUUGUGAACCGCUUUCGCCUGUGACGAAGCGUGAGUGACGGUAAUGGGUCGAGAAGCACCGGCUAACUACGUG
rnacentral:rRNA from 1 species